rnacentral:rRNA from 1 species
CCCUUAGAGUUUGAUCCUGGCUCAGGAUGAACGCUGGCGGCGUGCCUAACACAUGCAAGUCGAACGAGGUAAAUGAGAUGAAGUUUUCGGAUGGAUUCUUAUUUACCGAGUGGCGGACGGGUGAGUAACGCGUGGGUAACCUGCCUCAUACAGGGGGAUAACGAUUGGAAACGAUUGCUAAUACCGCAUAAGCGCACAGUACCACAUGGUACGGUGUGAAAAACUCCGGUGGUAUGAGAUGGACCCGCGUCUGAUUAGCUAGUUGGUGAGGUAACGGCCCACCAAGGCAACGAUCAGUAGCCGACCUGAGAGGGUGACCGGCCACAUUGGGACUGAGACACGGCCCAGACUCCUACGGGAGGCAGCAGUGGG